rnacentral:snRNA from 1 species
GCCUUCACCUGGAGGGGACAUACCCAUGAUCAUAAAGGUCGCUUCCCAAGGUGAGGUUUAUCAGUUGUACUGUGGGUGUGCUGACCUGUGCAAUUUCACCAAAUGCAAGAAACAUGACUGCAGAAUUUAUGAAGGUACUAUC